UCAGGAUGAACGCUGGCGGCGUGCUUAACACNUGCAAGUCGAACGAUGAUGCCCNCUUGUGGGUGGAUUAGUGGCGAACGGGUGAGUAACACGUGAGUAACCUGCCCUUAACUUUGGGAUAAGCCUGGGAAACUGGGUUUAAUACCGGAUAUGACUCCUCAUNGCAUGGUGGGGGGUGGAAAGCUUUAUUGUGGUUUUGGAUGGACUCGCGGCCUAUCAGCUUGUUGGUGAGGUAAUGGCUCACCAAGGCGACGACGGGUAGCCGGCCUGAGAGGGUGACCGGCCACACUGGGACUGAGACACGGCCCAGACUCCUACGGGAGGCAGCAGUGGGGAAUAUUGCACAAUGGGCGAAAGCCUGAUGCAGCGACGCCGCGUGAGGGAUGACGGCCUUCGGGUUGUAAACCUCUUUCAGUAGGGAAGAAGCGAAAGUGACGGUACCUGCAGAGAG
rnacentral:rRNA from 1 species